AUGGAUCUGAAUGCUAACAUUGGGCUAACCUUCACUCCAAUAGAAUGGGGAAACGAGCAGAAGCAUAUUUUGUCUGCCAUCCCUCAGGGCAAAUCCGUGUUCAUCACAGGCUCUGCUGGGACUGGUAACAAGACUGUAGAAUAUUCGAGGGACCACAAAAAGGGGAAGUCAACUGUUGCCUCUAAAAGGGCCCGGAUACCGCCUAAACCAGUGCAAGGUUGUAUUCCCAAGGAAGCUAGCAUAGCAAUAGGGAAUCCAUCUAGUAUUGACUAA